rnacentral:rRNA from 1 species
CUUUUCUUGCUAGUUUUUGAAGUAUGGCCUGCCCGCUGACGUAUUUUGGAGUUGAAGGGCCGCGGUAUUUUGACCGUGCAAAGGUAGCAUAGUCAUUAGUUCUUUAAUUGUGAUCUGGUAUGAAUGGCUUGACGAGACAUGGGCUGUCUUAGGUGUAGGAUUUGUUGUUGAAUUUGGAGUUUAGGUUAAAAUUCUUAGAUGUUUUUAUGGGACGAGAAGACCCUAUAGAGUUUGACAUUUGGUUGUGCAUUUCUUGCUGUUUGUUUUGAAUUUUUGCGCGUCUCUUGUUUUGUUGGGGUGAUGGGAGGAAUUUAUUUAACUCCUCUUCGUGUGUGGUAUAUUGAUUUAUAUUUAUUUUGAUCCAUUUAUUUUGAUUGUAAGAUUAAAUUACCUUAGGGAUAACAGCGUUAUCUUCCCUGAGAGUUCUUAUUGGCGGGGGGGUUUGCGACCUCGAUGUUGGAUUAAGGUUAAUUUUUGGUGUAGGAGCUGAAUUGAUUGGGUCUGUUCGACCUUUAAAAUCUU